rnacentral:rRNA from 1 species
ACGAACGCUGGCGGCGUGCCUAAUACAUGCAAGUAGAACGCUGAAGAGAGGAGCUUGCUCUUCUUGGAUGAGUUGCGAACGGGUGAGUAACGCGUAGGUAACCUGCCUUGUAGCGGGGGAUAACUAUUGGAAACGAUAGCUAAUACCGCAUAACAAUGGAUGACACAUGUCAUUUAUUUGAAAGGGGCAAUUGUUCCACUACAAGAUGGACCUGCGUUGUAUUAGCUAGUAGGUGAGGUAAUGGCUCACCUAGGCGACGAUACAUAGCCGACCUGAGAGGGUGAUCGGCCACACUGGGACUGAGACACGGCCCAGACUCCUACGGGAGGCAGCAGUAGGGAAUCUUCGGCAAUGGGGGCAACCCUGACCGAGCAACGCCGCGUGAGUGAAGAAGGUUUUCGGAUCGUAAAGCUCUGUUGUAAGUCAAGAACGGGUGUGAGAGUGGAAAGUUCACACUGUGACGGUAGCUUACCAGAAAGGGACGGCUAACUACGUGCCAGCAGCCGCGGUAAUACGUAGGUCCCGAGCGUUGUCCGGAUUUAUUGGGCGUAAAGCGAGCGCAGGCGGUUUGAUAAGUCUGAAGUUAAAGGCUGUGGCUCAACCAUAGUUCGCUUUGGAAACUGUCAAACUUGAGUGCAGAAGGGGAGAGUGGAAUUCCAUGUGUAGCGGUGAAAUGCGUAGAUAUAUGGAGGAACACCGGUGGCGAAAGCGGCUCUCUGGUCUGUAACUGACGCUGAGGCUCGAAAGCGUGGGGAGCGAACAGGAUUAGAUACCCUGGUAGUCCACGCCGUAAACGAUGAGUGCUAGGUGUUGGAUCCUUUCCGGGAUUCAGUGCCGCAGCUAACGCAUUAAGCACUCCGCCUGGGGAGUACGACCGCGAGGUUGAAACUCAAAGGAAUUGACGGGGGCCCGCACAAGCGGUGGAGCAUGUGGUUUAAUUCGAAGCAACGCGAAGAACCUUACCAGGUCUUGACAUCCCGAUGCUAUUUCUAGAGAUAGAAAGUUACUUCGGUACAUCGGUGACAGGUGGUGCAUGGUUGUCGUCAGCUCGUGUCGUGAGAUGUUGGGUUAAGUCCCGCAACGAGCGCAACCCCUAUUGUUAGUUGCCAUCAUUCAGUUGGGCACUCUAGCGAGACUGCCGGUAAUAAACCGGAGGAAGGUGGGGAUGACGUCAAAUCAUCAUGCCCCUUAUGACCUGGGCUACACACGUGCUACAAUGGUUGGUACAACGAGUUGCGAGUCGGUGACGGCGAGCUAAUCUCUUAAAGCCAAUCUCAGUUCGGAUUGUAGGCUGCAACUCGCCUACAUGAAGUCGGAAUCGCUAGUAAUCGCGGAUCAGCACGCCGCGGUGAAUACGUUCCCGGGCCUUGUACACACCGCCCGUCACACCACGAGAGUUUGUAACACCCGAAGUCGGUGAGGUAACCUUUUGGAGCCAGCCGCCUAAGGUGGGACAGAUGAUUGGGGUG